UCGCCAUGCAUUUUCACUUACAUGGUUCUGAGCUUUCUGGAAAGCAUGUGGCUAAUGAUUUUAAAGCUGGUCUAGAUGCCUUUAACUAGAGAAUGGAGCUUAAUUAUCCAUUUUAGGAAUGAUGCUGUUUUGUCCCAACCAACUCCAAUUGUUGGGUUUCUCAUUUCAAUCUGUGGCAUUAACAAGUUUGUAACCUCCUUUGUUAGACUGCCUCACAAUUUUCUUUCCUUUCUUCAUAAUUAGAGAGCCUUUUGUAAUCUUUAAUCAAACUUUUCUUUGAAUAAGCUUAAUUACCUCUCACGCCAGCUUUAUUGACCGGUGUGGCUAAUUGAUCUUUUUUUUUCCUUGCAUCAUAUUGCUUUUUAUGCUUUAGAGGAAAUUGCAGCUCUUGUCAUUUCAUUUUCUAUGAAUGGCCGAAUAUGCC
rnacentral:lncRNA from 1 species